rnacentral:lncRNA from 1 species
CGUACAAAAGGUUUGAACAAUUGGGUCUAACAUAGCCGUGAUCUGUGUAAUAUUUUUGCUGUAAGCUCACAGUUUCAUAUGUAAUUUAGAGACAAAAUUGAAACAGAUUGCUGUCAGGGAAUUUUACCAGACAUUCCCUAGUCUGCUCUUUGGUAGAAAGCAUUGCACUAUAACUUCUUUGAAGAUAUAUCAUUUCUAAGGUUUAGAAGUGGUCGUUUGGGACAAUGGGAUCCUGCACUCACAAAAAGAUAUGUUCAUUCAAGUUUUCUGGAAAUCUGUGAUGAGUUAAUGAAUGAUUUUCGGGCUUCUCCAUUGCAAAUGGUGGUCCUAGGAAUCCAGCCACGACAUUCAUUCUCGUUUGAAGGCCUAUAGCUUGGAAUGUCUUGACAACUUCGAACAGAGAUAGAGGAAACGAGUAGGGAGUCAGUAUCUCUAUUACAUUAAUGAUCUUGAUAGGUUUAACACCUGCUAACUCAUUAGAAAAGCUUGAAACAUGGAUUGUUCAAAUAUUCUGUUCAAUUGAUGGUGCCGCUGCGUCUGACAUUCCAACUAAACCUGAGGAAACAGCAAAAUAGGCCUUGUUGGUGGGAAGAGCAUCAUAGAUCGUUCAAGAUGCCUACGUCAAAGCAAUUCAAAGGGCCACGGAUUUUAUAUAUAUAAACAAUCAGUAUUUUAUUGGGAGCUCAUAUGAUUGGAAACCAUCAAGGAAGGUAACAACUUGGGGGAUAUUAACACCUUGCGCCUUUUACCAAAGGAGCUCUCGCUGAAGUAGAUUUCUAUAUUGAACAUAAGUUGAUUUUCUCUAUUGACGGCCGCACUUUUGUAUUUUCACAAGAUAAUAUUGAUGCAUGUUUUAAAAUUUAUUAUUGGUCUCGUUAUUGUUGUUCAUAUUUUUAGUCCAAAAAGUAAUGCUAUUGAAUAUUUUCAUUUGACAAUUAACAAAUUAGGAAUUUUAUUUAAUAUGUACACAAUCAAAUAAAAA